ensembl:lncRNA
UACUUUACCGUUUGGUCUUUAUAUUAAAAAUAACAUUCAUGACAGUAACAGUGUACAACCAGUGAUCAAUAAUCAUUAAAACUAACUGCGGCACCAAUAAUUACACUUAAGAACGAGGAAGAUGCAGCAUCCUCCAUUGUUUUAAAAUAAGUUAAGAAAUAAAGACUCUUUUGUCGUUUUACUUUGCAAAGCGCUCUUCCCUACAUGGAGGGGGGGCAUUACUAUGGCGGCCCGGUCACCGGGACCAGGCGGGUAUUAAUGGCUGCACAAGCGUUCCACAGGGGCAGUACUUCUGGAGAUUACACACUAGGUUUGGGUUAAAUAGGUCAACAGCACAGGAUCAGUGUAUGUCACUCCAGUGUUAUGGUUGGAUCUAGAACAACGAAGAGUUUAGCAGUCAACGGUUUUGGCGUUGGGGCGGUGUGUUUCUCUUUCAGCAGGCCGCUCUGUGUCUAAUUGUUCUUGGCUAAUUGUUCUUUUUUCUUUUUCUCUUGUUUCUUUUUCCCACACAACAGUGUCUGGUUCAGCGGUAGGGUUGCUACAGCAGCUCUGUUUGAAGAUAACUCCCAGCACCAAAGCCAGGAAGCUCUUCGUUCCUUCGACGCCCAAUCAGUAGUCAAACAAGUCGGGCACAGCCAAUCAAUGGCUGUGCGUCGACGCGGGAGAACAUUCAGCCAUCCGGCCGUCCAAUAGGCAUUCAGGAUUCCAGGUAAGGGACAAGGGGGGCUAUCAGGGCACCUAUUCGCUAGAUUCAUGGUUCAUAUAAUGUAUAGGCCAGUCUCAAGUGUGUUAUUAUUAUCCUUAUUAUUAUUAUUCAUAAUCUAACAAGUAUGCUCUGUUCACAAAGAGUCAGUAUGAUUGCACAUUAAAAGUUCAGUAGAAGUUAAAGUUCCAGUUGCAGGUUCAGUUUGAACCAAAAUGGUGUCAUCUUCUAGAGUUGUAGAGCCUUCUGCAGAAGGAUCCCCCAAAAGUCCAGUGUUCCAGUUGUUAUUGGCUCAUCCUCACAGUCGCUUCACUUUGGCUUCUGUGGAAAGAAACAGGGAGUGUCAAACAGUGGCAAACACAAGUGUCAAACAUUUUGUUAAUCUACACACACAGUUUACUCCCUCCAUUCUGUUCAACCAACUCUUAUAAUGAGUACAUUAAUAUAAUAAUAAUAAUAAAUUCAAUUUAUAUAGCGCUUUUCUCACACUCAAAGCGCUUUACAUAGGGGCACAACAAUAGGUAAACAAGAAAACAUUUUUUUUUGAGUUGAUGGGGCUAGGGUUGAUGAAGGCAUGGAUGAGUCUUUCUGCAGCGUGGGGUGUGAGGGAGGAUCUGAUCUUUGCGAUAUUACGGAGGUGAUAGAAGGAUGUUUUGACAGUGUGACGGAUGUGGGGUCAAGGGAGAGGGUGGCAUCAAAGAUUAUGCCAAGGUUGAGGCCCUGGGGGGAGGGGGAGACCAUGGUGCCGUCAGCAGUGAGUGUGGGGGGGUUUGCAAGUUUACUGAGGUUGGAUUUGGAGCCAAUGAGGAGGAGUUCAGUUUUGUUGCUGUUAAGUUUCAGGAAGUUAUUUUGCAUCCAGAGAGUAAGUGAAGACUAUUCUCUGAUCGCAAGUCCAGUGUCACGAGCGGACCGCGACGUUGCCAUGACAUCUAGAAAUCAUACCGUAUUUAAUGGGUUAUAAUUUUGAUCUAUGUAUAUUAUUAUUGUUAUUAUUAUUACUAUUAUUAUUAUUAUUAUUAUUAUUAUUAUUAUUAUUAUUAUUAUUAUUAUUAUUAUUAUUAUCAUUAUUAUUAUUAUUAUAAUUUAUUCAAGACACAGGAAGGUCCAUAAAG